GAUGAACGCUGGCGGCGUGCUUAACACAUGCAAGUCGAACGGAAAGGCCCAAGCUUGCUUGGGUACUCGAGUGGCGAACGGGUGAGUAACACGUGGGUGAUCUGCCCUUCACUUCGGGGUAAGCCUGGGAAACUGGGUCUAAUACCGGAUAGGACCACAUUAUGGAUGGUGUGGUGUAAAGUUUUUCGGUGUGGGAUGAGCUCGCGGCCUAUCAGCUUGUUGGUGGGGUAAUGGCCUAGCAAGGCGUCGACGGGUAGCCGGCCUGAGAGGGUGUACGGCCACAUUGGGACUGAGAGACGGCCCAGACUCCUACGGGAGGCAGCAGUGGGGAAUAUUGGACAAUGGGCGCACGCCUGAUGCAGCGACGCCGCGUGGGGGAUGACGGCCUUCGGUUUGUAAACUCAUUUCGCUAGGGAAGAAGCGUUUUUGUGACGGUACCUGGAGAAGAAGCACCGGCUAACUACGUG
rnacentral:rRNA from 1 species